rnacentral:rRNA from 1 species
GACGAACCGUGCGAACGUUGUUCGGAAUCACUGGGCUUAAAGGGCGCGUAGGCGGGCAAUCAAGUCAGGGGUGAAAUCCUCCGGCUCAACCGGAGAACUGCCUUUGAUACUGGUCGUCUCGAGUGAGGUAGGGGCAUGCGGAACUGAUGGUGGAGCGGUGAAAUGUGUUGAUAUCAUCAGGAACUCCGGUGGCGAAAGCGGCGUGCUGGACCUCAACUGACGCUGAUGCGCGAAAGCUAGGGGAGCGAACGGG